rnacentral:lncRNA from 1 species
GUUUUAUCAAAAGUCACAAGCUUAGGGUUUAGAGUUAAAGGGUAGGGUUUAGGAUUUAGGGUUUAGAGUUUAGGGUUUAGAUUUUAGGGUUUAGGGUUUAGGGUUUAGAGUUUAGGGUUUAGGGUUUAGGGUUUAGGGUUUAGGGUUUAGAGUUUAGGGUUUAGAUUUUAGGGUUUAGGGUUUAGGGUUUAGAGUUUAGGGUUUAGGGUUUAGAGUUGAGAAAUGAGGUUUUGGGGAUAAGAUUUCAAAUUUUGAAAAAUAAAAAAAUUAAAAUUUUCAAAGGAUAAAUUUAGAAAGGUGCUAUUUUGGUAAUUUUAGUUUUUGAGUGCUAUUUUGUGAUAUAAACUUAGAAAGGUGCUAUUUUGGAGAUUUGCCCUUUAACUUAUCCAAAAUACUUGAAAAUAUAUACAAAUAAUCAAAAAUAAAUGUCUUAAAUAGUUAAAGUAUACUCAAA